rnacentral:misc_RNA from 1 species
UAUAGGUCCAAUGUCAACUAAAGGUGAUAUUGGAGAGAAUUUGCCAGCCCCUAUGUCUUCACAGAAUGUAAUGCCAGCAAGAAAAUGGAAGCGAAUGGCUAGAGAUGGUUCUUCAGGUUCGCAAGAUCGGGAGGGAAUCUUGUUAGGUGUUGGUUUAAGGGGAGGUGUCGUAUUUGAUUCAGAUAAGGAGUCACAGAAGAAUGAUGUUUUCUCUGAGGCCUUAGUGGCUGGCCUAAAGCCACCGGUGAAACCAUGACAACCAUUGCCUGAAACUGCCAGGGGAUUGGGCAACCCUGGUCAGUUUGAGCUCUUAGAGAGCUUAUAAAGAAAUAUCACCCCUCCAUAAUCUAUCUCAUGGAAACAAAGAAUAAGGUAGGAUUUAUGGAGUUCUUGCGAAGGAGAAUUGGAAGGGAUUUUGGGAACAGCUACUAUGUGGAGCCGAAUGGUCUUUCAGGAGGACUAGCCCUUUGGUGGAAUGAUAACGUUCAUAUAAAUAUUUUGGCUUCUUCUAGCAAUAUUGUGGAAGCCAAUGUUCUUUUGCAUGAUCGCAAUGUUUCUUGGCAUAUGUCUUUUGUGUAUGGCAGUCCAGCUAGAGAAAACAAAGCUAAAAUUUGGGAAGCUUUGGGCAACUUAAAUUUUGCAACUUCAGAAUUAUGGGCUUGUAUUGGGGAUUUUAAUUCCAUUAUCUCUCAAGAUGAAAAAUGGGGAGGAAAUGACAUGAGGAACUCUCAGGUUCAGGAUAUGAUACAGUUUAUUAAUCAAGCUGCUCUUUUGGACUUAGAGUGCAAGGGACCUCCCUUUACUUGGUACAAUAAGCAGUUUGGGGAGAAUGCUAUUCAAGAACGCCUUGACAGAGUCUUAGUCUCGAUUUAGUGGAGAGAAUCCUUUCCGAAGGCUUAUGUUGUACAUGAAUCUUUGUUAGGCUCUGACCACAGGUCUAUAGUUUUGCUCCUAGAUUCUCCUAUUACUCGAAAAAUUUUUUUGUUUCGGUUUGAGGAAAAAUGGCUUCAGCAUCCAGAUUGUAACUCUGUCAUAGCAACAGCUUGGAAACAGCCAAUUACAGGUUCCCCCAUGUUCUCGGCAGUGCAGAAGCUAAAAUCAUGUCGAAAGUCUCUAGCCAGAUGGAAUACUGAAGUGUUUUGUGGUAAUAAAGCUAAAAUUAAGAACCUUCAUCUUCAACUGGAGAACCUGUAUAAUCAUCCUAUGGAGGAGGGGAAUAGAGAAGUUGAAUAUCAGAUAUUGUCUCGCCUCAAUGAGUUAUGUAAAAGAGACGAAGCUCACUGGAAACAGCAUUCUCGUAUAUCAUGGCUGAUAGAGGGGGACAAGAAUACUCGUUUCUUCCAUUUAUCUACCAUCCAAAGGUGGCAUCGCAAUUCAAUUGUUAGAUUACAGAAAGCCAAUGGUGAAAUGGAUUGACGCUGAGCAUCAUAUAAAGGAAGAAAUAGUUUCUUACUUCCAGAAUUUAUAUAGUAAGAGCCCCACUCAAGGCGAAGAAGAUGUUAUUAGUUUCCUUCCCAAAUGUGUUACUCCAGAGAUGAACAACUCCCUGCUAGCUCUGGUGAUAAAUGAGGAAAUUAAAACUGUUGCUUUUGCUUUAGGAGGAUCAAAGGCUCUUGGACCGGAUAGUUUCUCAGGGCUAUUUUAUCAACAAAAUUGGGAUACAGUAGGGGAAGAUGUCUGUUGUGCUAUCAAAAUUGUUUUGUAUCUGGUUAUACGCAUAGGGAAAUCAAUAGAACUAAUAUUGUUCUGAUUCCCAAAUGUAAAAGUCCCUUUGCAAUUAA